GGCCUGCCAGGGUGGCCACCUGUUCUCACAGGGACCCGCUGGCACUUUCCCUAAAAUGGGUAAGUAUAGAGGAAAACACAUGGAGGGAAGUAAUAAGCAGGCAAUGCUUGCUCGAGCCGUGCUGGGCCGUACAUAGGUGCCUGACGGGUCGUGUGAGUGGCUGUGGCCGGAGGGGACAUGCAGUGAGUGGCAAAGGGGAGCUUUCCACAGGGUGGUCACCUGUGUUAGAUACUGGCUUUAUUAAGUCUUCAGCUGCUCUGUUUUUUUUUUUUUUUUUUAAGAAACCAAUCCACUGAACUGGAAGCACAAAAAUAUACAAUAAACCAUGGUAAAGGAGCUUUUUUGCUUAUUCCUUGUACCCAGGGCCUCUUAAAUCUCAGUGCAUGCCAGUCUUUGAAAUUUCCAGCCUUUCAAAAAUUCAUGUCAUAGGUACUCUUUCAUUUGUUAUCAUUUCUGUAUACUUGCGCUUUAGUCAUUUCAUAAACAUAUCUGUGACAGCUACUGUUCCAGUUCUUACCAAUUUUCUAUAUUUUUGUUUCCAGCACUCCAUAACUGAGCGUGUCCCACCAGUAAGAGCAAAAGACCAGGUGGAACGUACAGGAAGAGGCGAGCAGGCGGGAUGCUCCGGAGGAGAGGGGAUGUGGAGCCCCGAAGGGACAUCAAGUCAAACCCUGAAGAGGGCUGGAGGGUGGCAAGGAGGCUGAGGAAGGGAGCCGUACAUCACCGCCGAUCCCAGCUCCGUCCAUUGUCUGUGCUCAGCCAGGAGGGCCAGGUUUGGGACGCUGGCGCGCCACCUUCCCAGCCACUGCGCGUCCUUGUGUGAGAGCUGGUGCCGGACAGCCCUCGGGACGUCGGCUGCUGCGAGGGAGCAACAGCCUGAAACUCAGGGACGUGUCAGAGGGAGCCUGUGGCUGCGCUGGGGCCUCGAAACACCUUUUGAACACGUUGGGACCCGAAACACAGCAGCUGGAGGAGAGGGGGUCUUGAUGCGGACUGUGAUGUUGUAAUUGCUUGGGUAAGAUGGGUUUUGUUUUGUGUGAAAUACUGCAGGUAACUCUCAAAGCUGGCAAUCAAGAAUUAAGUAUAGUUUUUGAGCAUCUUAGAUCUACGUUCUGGAAAAAAAAAACAUUUACCAUUGAAUGUCAUUUCUUUCUUCUUAGAUCCCUUUUAUUUGGCAUGCAGAAAGUUCAGGGCAGUGCUUGAAAAGUAAGAUACGUUUUUCAGGUGAGAUGGGGGUGGGUGACAGUUUUCAGUUUCCAGUCGCUGAAUAUUUUCAUGUAGUCCCAUUACCUUAUCGGGCAACAUAUCUGCCGAAACGCCUGACCCUGUGCCUGGGAGGCAGUGGCGUCCCCGAGGGCGCGUGCGUGGGGCUGGCGGGGGCAUGCACCCCGCUGGCGCUGGUUGCCAGCGGCCGCUCCCAGAUUGAGACAAGGGGCAAGGUUGCGCGUGUGCGUAUAACAAGUUAUAUAGGUAAUACAUGAGCAUGGGAUGUGGUGUAAAAGGCUUAUUGGCAUGAAUACUCACGGCAGGUGGAGCCGCAAAUGGGCAAGACUCAUCCCCUACAACAUUAUCUUGCGUCUGCAAGAUUUAUUUUUCGUAUCA
ensembl:lncRNA